AAUGCUGUUUAUUUGGCACAAAACUCCACAUCUUCAUUGUUAGAAAAAAUAUUUUUGCGUUGCGAUAUGUGUUGGUAUUAUGACUGGUUAUUGUUGACAGAUAUCCAAGCUAUAAAAAAAAUACAACUUUAGACAUGUAUGUCGACUACAUGUGGCGUUAGCGCCAUCCAUGUGUGAAACCCGGAAACUUAGUUGCGCACCUAGUAUAUACACAAAGUGCUUCAACGGCUCUUCAUCCUUUCAAAG